AUAAAUAGAUGGAUAUUUGCUGCAUUAACAAUUACUUCUUAAAACUGUAUCAAAGAGGAGCCAUUGAAGAAUACUGUUGUCCUAUCCCAGAAGGAGCAAGCGGACAACACUGAUAUCCUGACUACUAACCAUCCAGCACCACUUAAAGGUUUUAAAAAGAAUAACAGAAAGAAAGAAGUGGCUGAAACCUAAAUGCCAUAUGGAGAAGACAGCUAAUCAUUUUAGCCAAAUAUGCUGACUCUGCUUGUUUGGUUAUAUUUAUGUGUGUAUGAAUGUAUGUGCAGAAAAAGAAAGAAAUUAGUUAAUACCAACCAUCUGGUUGCCUAUUAUUGAAGGUCGGCUCUUUAAUGUGCAAAUUAAGGUGUUUUAUUUCCUUCAUAUAUCAAUUAUAGUCUAUUUAUUUACUUCUAGAUAAAAUCCUUUGAUGGACAUUUAAGCUGUGCCAACUAUUUACUAAUAAAAAUAUUUACAUUCUG
rnacentral:lncRNA from 1 species